rnacentral:rRNA from 1 species
CCUAGGGUGGGCAGCAGUGAGGAAUAUUGGUCAAUGGACGAGAGUCUGAACCAGCCAAGUAGCAUGAAGGAUGACUGCCCUAUGGGUUGUAAACUUCUUUUGUACGAGGGUAAUAUCAGAUACGUGUAUCUGCUUGAAAGUAUCGUACGAAUAAGGAUCGGCUAACUCCGUGCCAGCAGCCGCGGUAAUACGGAGGAUCCAAGCGUUAUCCGGAUUUAUUGGGUUUAAAGGGUGCGUAGGCGGUUUUAUAAGUUAGAGGUGAAAAUUCGGGGCUCAACUCCGGACGUGCCUCUAAUACUGUAUGACUAGAGAAUAGAUGCGGUAGGCGGAAUGUAUGGUGUAGCGGUGAAAUGCGUAGAGAUCAUACAGAACACCGAGUGCGAAGGCAGCUUACCAAACUAUAUCUGACGUUGAGGCACGAAAGCGUGGGGAGCAAACAGGAUUAGAUACCCCUGUAGUC